GUCUCUGUAGCUCAGUUGGUUAGAGAACUGCACCGGAAUCGCAGGGCCGUAGGUUCAAUUCCUACCAGAGGACC
rnacentral:tRNA from 1 species